UAAUAUUUUAUUAAAACAGUAACAGUGAAAGUAAUGAGAAUAAAUAUAAUAAUGCCUAAAUAAAAAUAUAUGAAUAAAAAGUAUACAGAUGUGCAGAUCCAAAUUACACAAAGCGUAUGCUUAUAAUUAAAAAAAUGACUAAGCAUGGGCAAAACGCAUUAUAGAGCAUCGAUAAACAGUUUUUAUCAAUUUUUAUUACAUCAUAAUUAUUCGAAUAUGGCUACUGAUUUGAUAUUUCCUUUUAGUUCUUAUAUUCAUUAAAUUUAUUGGUUUUACCAUUUUACCUGAUCGGGUAUAUCUAAGUGUAAACUAAUCAUAGUUACCAGAUAAAUAAAUAGAUUGACAUUUUCUAUUUGUAUCAUAUGCACGUUGUGUCUACAUAAGACUCAUCAGUGAAGCUCGAAUAAAACAAUGUUAAAAAAUUUAAGAAGUACGAAGUUGAAGAGCAUUGAAGACCACAAAUUCCUAUAAUUGUCUUUUCUAAAACGAACAUAAGAUUUUAAUGGUUUAAUUAAACAAGAGUGCACACGCUGAAAUGUCUCGCCUUCUAUACUAAUCAUUGAUAUUAUGUUGAUAGUCCUAAGUAUAAAGUUAAGCAUUAUAACAACUGUCACAUAAACUUAACAUUGACCAAGAUAACUAAACAAAGAUCAAUGAACCUUGAAAAUGAGGUCAAGGUCAGAUGAACCAUGCCAGGCAGACAUGUACAGCUAACAAUGCUUCUAUACAAC
rnacentral:lncRNA from 1 species